GCGUGACUCCAUGCUUCAACAAAAAAAUAGCUAUCGUGAUGUCUUGGUUCUCGAAUAUGUCGAUAACACACAUUGGUGCACACUGAUUCUCCACAUAAUCCAGUACUUUCUUAUCAACCUUGACGUCUUCCGCUGUUAUCUCGUUCAUGAGGGCCCUCAGUUUCUCAAAAUUCUUCUGGCAGAGCUUGAAUCCAUUACUUUCACGUCCGGCGAAUGUUUUCAGUGCUUGUUUCCAGAGAAUUUCCAUUUUCGAAGACAUUAGGGAGAUAACGUUUUUUCAAUUAUCAAUUAUAUUGUUUUGUUGUUUUGAAAAAAAAAUUACUGAGAUGUUGUCCUUACACACAGCUGUUUUAGACGGUCGGUUGGUAUUGUUUGAUUGUUGUUUGAUUGUGAGGGGGACUUUCUAACCUCAACUGCGAGAAAAUACACUUUUUCCAUCAAUUUUGUUUGUUUGCAAAUAUUUUGCAAAGUUUAGAUAACACUGUGACUUUUUAUCAUUUAAAAGUGGAUUUAGAUAGGUUUGAUUAUUAUUAUUUCCGGUGUGUGCUUUAUAUCAGUCACAGCCACAGUUGGAUUUGUUGACACUCGGAUUAUGCCCUGCUCUGCUAAGGUGUGAAUCUCAAAGCCCCCCAACACUGUGAUAUAUAUUAUUACAUAUAAGAGGCUGACACUGUGUGCGGAAUGUUGGGUGGGGGAAUUUAAAUAAAUUCCUUCAAUCUCCUUCUCAUUAUGGCUACUUGACAGUUUCAUUAACAAUGCACAAAAAUAUAAUCAAAGAAACUCCAAUCGAGCAUUGAAGAGUAUUGUAUAUAACAUAAACCCAACUAUCAAUUUUUACAGUGUAUGUACAUAAACAACUUCCAGAAUAAUCAAUCGAUCAAGAGUUUAGGCAGCAUUCUCACAAGCUCGAAGUAGAAACAGCAUAGCAUAAAACUUAUAAUUCACACAAGUACAAGGUAAAUGCAGUAUAUAAAUAAAUAUUUCAACAACAAUCUCAUGAUGAGUGAAAUUAUUUUUUACAUAGCCUAAAUAACUCAUUGAAAAUUAUCGAUUAAUGGAAGAGAAAAAUUUCACCUUUUCUUCAAUCCUUAUGGUAAGAUUGUGCGAUGCAUUUUUUAUACGUCAACUAUUAUUGAAUCUAUUGCCUUGAGAGUAAUUGGUGCAAUUAGUAUUUUCUGAUUAAUUUUCAUUGUUGAUAAAUAGCACUUACUGUGAUUUCUGUGAAGAAAUGUUGAAGACAAAUAAAAAUAACAUUUAUCCAAUUGUUCUUUUCUUUUCCUUGAAGAGAAUACAGUUUGAGAUUAAUUGAUGAUUAAUUUAUUCCUGAGUUUAUUGAGGUGGAUAUUUAAGUGGUUUGAUAUUUAAGAGAAAAAAAAAAAAUACCCACCUCAAGUGGGCCUCCCCUAUUUUAGCCAUCAAAUAUAGAGAGAAAAAAAUAAUUACAACUUGAUCAUCGCCAAUACAGACAUUUUCUUUGACUUCAACAUUUCUUAAAAUGUGGAAUUGGUGCCAGUUAUAGCAUAGCCAUGAAAGAGAUUCUCUAUAAAAAGUUGCAAAAUUGUUCUUCUAGUUCUAGUUUAAAAUGUGCAGUAGGUAAAUCAACUUGUCCAAUUAAUUGUAUCUCCAAUCUCUCACAUUAUUAUUCCUAUUACAAUUUAAUUUGGCGGCUAUUGAACAACUACUAAAUAGUUGUAUUAGUUGAAGAGUGCCAGAGAGUGGUAUAAGUGUUGCAAUUUUUUUCAAGCAUUCAUGGCGGACGGAUGGCCAGGUGAGAAAUAUAUGGUGUAUAAAGCGAAAGAUUUUCAUUGUUUGAACGGUUUUGAAGAAUGACAAGGGCUACUUUCAACGAUUAAUUCUCUAUGAAUUUAUAAUGAUUUUUUCAUUAUAAUUCCCUAGGUUUCAACAGCCAUGUACUAUCUUUUAAAAUAUAGUUGAAGAUUCAAGGUAAUCUUAAGAAGCGAGCCGACCAAUUUUUCAAGCGUAUAAAAUAGAUUUUUAAAAUUUUUAUCUUAAUCUGCCCAACGGCUACUGUGACCCAAAAACGAAUGAUAAUGGAAGUUUAUGGGUUACUGAGAGACUGAUGAUUAUAAUGAUGUUUUGAUGCAGAGAGGUAACGUGAAUAUGGCCCCUUUGCAACACUGUCCCAUAAUCAAGACUCCGCUGGAUAAACAAACAUUGGCAAAGAUAAAUAUUCAUUUUGCAGAUAUGAGAUAAUUGACACUGACAAUAUGAGAAUAAUGUCAAUGACUUGUUUGCCUCAAAGGAAAAGUUCUCCAUUGAUUUCGAUGUAUUAUUAAUAAUAAAUUUACUCUACACUCUA